CAGUCGCACGAUGAUCAGGGAGCUUGCUCCUGGUGAUUAGAUGGCGAACGGGUGAGUAACACGCUGAGUAACCUGCCCCUGACUCUGGGAUAAGCGUUGGAAACGACGCUCUAAUACUGGAUAUGAUCACUGGCCGCAUGGUCUGGUGGUGGAAAGAUUUUUUGGUUGGGGAUGGACUCGCGGCCUAUCAGCUUGUUGGUGAGGUAAUGGCUCACCAAGGCGACGACGGGUAGCCGGCCUGAGAGGGUGACCGGCCACACUGGGACUGAGACACGGCCCAGACUCCUACGGGAGGCAGCAGUGGGGAAUAUUGCACAAUGGGCGAAAGCCUGAUGCAGCAACGCCGCGUGAGGGAUGACGGCCUUCGGGUUGUAAACCUCUUUUAGUAGGGAAGAAGCGAAAGUGACGGUACCUGCAGAAAAAGCACCGGCUAACUACGUGCCAGCAGCCGCGGUAAUACGUAGGGUGCAAGCGUUGUCCGGAAUUAUUGGGCGUAAAGAGCUCGUAGGCGGUUUGUCGCGUCUGCUGUGAAAUCCCGAGGCUCAACCUCGGGCUUGCAGUGGGUACGGGCAGACUAGAGUGCGGUAGGGGAGAUUGGAAUUCCUGGUGUAGCGGUGGAAUGCGCAGAUAUCAGGAGGAACACCGAUGGCGAAGGCAGAUCUCUGGGCCGUAACUGACGCUGAGGAGCGAAAGCGUGGGGAGCGAACAGGAUUAGAUACCCUGGUAGUCCACGCCGUA
rnacentral:rRNA from 1 species